rnacentral:rRNA from 1 species
AGAGGGUGAAACUCCCGUCCGCCUGGUAAAUAGAGUCUUUGUCAACGAGUCGGAGUUGUUUUGGGAGUUGCAGCUCUAAUUUGGUGGUAAAUUCCAUCUAAAGCUAAAUAUUGGUGGGAGACCGAUAGCGUACAAGUACCGUGAGGGAAAGAUGCAAAGAAACUUUGAAAAGAGAGUUAAAGAGUACCUGAAAUUGCUGAAACGGAAGCGAAGGAAACCGGUGUUUGUUGGUUCAUAUUUCCUUGGCCACUUGUGGUUUGGGCGCUGUGAGCUUGCGUGGGUUUGGGUUGGUUGAUCCCUUUGGAAGAGCGCAGUCAGAGUUGAUGU